CCGGUGACAGAGAGAAACGAAGUAGUGAUGCAGAGUAAAACUCAAAAAACGGUCUCAGUUCGGAUUGAAGGCUGAAAUUCGCCUUCAUGAAGCUGGAAUUGCUAGUAAUGGCAGGUCAGCAUACUGCCGUGAAUACGUUCCCGGGGCCUUGUACACACCGCCCGUCAAGCCAUGGGAGUCGGGAGUGCCUGAAGUCCGUGACCGUCACAGGAGCGACCUAAGGCAAGACCGAUGACUGGGGCUAAGUCGUAACAAGGUAAC
rnacentral:rRNA from 1 species